rnacentral:rRNA from 1 species
AUACGAAGGGGGCAAGCGUUGUUCGGAAUAACUGGGCGUAAAGCGCACGUAGGCGGAAUGUUAAGUUAGAGGUGAAAUCCCAGGGCUCAACCCUGGAACGGCCUUUAAUACUGGUAAUCUAGAGACCGAGAGAGGUGAGUGGAAUUCCGAGUGUAGAGGUGAAAUUCGUAGAUAUUCGGAGGAACACCAGUGGCGAAGGCGGCUCACUGGCUCGGUACUGACGCUGAGGUGCGAAAGCGUGGGGAGCAAACAGGAUUAGAAACCCUAGUAGUCC